GCUAGCCUUCGAGCGCCGAAGACCGCGUCACAUCCAUCAGCAGCUCCUCGAACCGAGGUCGCCUCCACUGCCGGCCGCGCCUCUCGCGUCAAGCCGGCCUCCUCCACCGGAUGCGCCUCUCGCGCCAAUCCGGCCUCCCUCCAUCGGCCGCGCCUCUCGCGCCAAGCCGGCCUCCAUCUCCUCCGCCCGCGCCUCUCGCGCCGAGCCGGCCUCCGCUGCCAUCGGUUGCGCCUCUCUGCGCCAAGCCGGUCUCCAACCCCUCCUCCAAACGCUGCCGCGCCGGCUAGAUGCAAUCGUCUCCUACACCCUCGGCUAGCCGUCCAAGGCCGCCAUACAUCCUCCCACCUCAGCCACGGUGAUCACCACCAUGCCUCCUUCCACCGCAGCCACGUUCGCCACCGUGCCUCCACAUUCACAGCCGCUGCAAGCCGGCCGCUGUCGCCGCUGCUGUCACCAACCGCCAACACCAGCCGCCGCCACCGCCAACGCGGCUACUGCCUCGUCGCCCUC
rnacentral:lncRNA from 1 species